GGAGGGGCAGGCAUUGGGCACCGUGGGAUCAGCUGGGGAGCCAUCCACGCUGGCACAGACCUCCCCCAUUUCUCACCAGCACUGACAGGCUGAUAACUGUUUUCCAAGCUCCCGGGGAGGAAAAUUGUGAUUUUCUGGGAGGGGCGACCUCUAGCCAACAGUGAUCAAGGGAAAGAGGAAAAGUGUGGGUUUGUUUAUUUACCCAGCACACUAACCAUCCAUCUCACUAACAGAGCGCGGGGUGAGGCGCUGGUGCUGAGUUCCCUGAGUGGCCCCCUCUCCAACCCCCAGCGGCACCAUUCUCUUACCCAUCCCUUCUCCCUGGUUCCUUUCCGGCCCUGAGAAGACCCUAACAGCCCGUGGUCAGCAGGAAGGGGCCACAAACUCCUCUGUGAGCCUCUAAUUCCUCGCCCAGGCUUGGGCGCCCUGGGAGCACCUGCCUCAGGGGCGUGGGCACGGAUUCAAGCAGCUCAGCAGGUGGGAAGUUUGAAGGACGGGGCGGGGCGCAGUAGAGGCAAGGCAGCACUGUCUUGCAAUGUUCGAUGGAUAAUGUGUGGAAUCUGCUCAGAUUUAUACAACCUGUGUCAAGCCCUAGAUGAGCUACAGGAAAAUAACUGCAAGAGUUAGGCCAAGACCUUCAGGGAGAGGCCAGGAGAUAGCUCAAACAAGAGGCUCUGCAGGCCAGGGAGGGCCAGGACACUCCACAGCCGGAGCGCAGCAAAUGUGUGCAGGGAGGGACCCUGCCGUGGCUGAGGCGGGGCCUCUGGGGCCGCUGGAACCUGCGACCGUCUUCGUGAGCCUGGAGAAAGAGUAAAAGGUUGAGUCCUGAGUACACACCAGACAUGAAUCUGAGGGGGUGAAGCUGGCCCACUGCGAUGAUGCACCAAAGGACAAGCAUGAGGCACUACCCAGAGGCUGGAACAGGGCAAGGAAUGAGACCCACCAGCAGCCCUCCCGGUGGCAUCCUGAGGGGACAGGGGACAAUCACCCGGUGGCCAAAGGCAGGUCCCCCAAAAUUUCAGGUUGUGUCAAAUGUGAUGAGGAGAUAAAGGUGGU